rnacentral:rRNA from 1 species
CACGGCGGGGUUCGUGACUGGGGUGAAGUCAUAACAAGGUAGCCGUAGGUGAACCUGCAGAAGGAUCA